rnacentral:rRNA from 1 species
GUGACUGCGUACCUUUUGUAUAAUGGGUCAGCGACUUAUAUUCUGUAGCAAGGUUAACCGAAUAGGGGAGCCGGAGGGAAACCGAGUCUUAAUUGGGCGUUAAGUUGCAGGGUAUAGACCCGAAACCCGGUGAUCUAGCCAUGGGCAGGUUGAAGGUUGGGUAACACUAACUGGAGGACCGAACCGACUAAUGUUGAAAAAUUAGCGGAUGACCUGUGGCUGGGGGUGAAAGGCCAAUCAAACCGGGAGAUAGCUGGUUCUCCCCGAAAGCUAUUUAGGUAGCGCCUCGUGAAUUCAUCUCCGGGGGUAGAGCACUGUUUCGGCUAGGGGGCCAUCCCGGCUUACCAACCCGAUGCAAACUGCGAAUACCGGAGAAUGUUAUCACGGGAGACACACGGCGGGUGCUAACGUCCGUCGUGAAGAGGGAAACAACCCAGACCGCCAGCUAAGGUCCCAAAGUCAUGGUUAAGUGGGAAACGAUGUGGGAAGGCCCAGACAGCCAGGAUGUUGGCUUAGAAGCAGCCAUCAUUUAAAGAAAGCGUAAUAGCUCACUGGUCGAGUCGGCCUGCGCGGAAGAUGUAACGGGGCUAAACCAUGCACCGAAGCUGCGGCAGCGACACUGUGUGUUGUUGGGUAGGGGAGCGUUCUGUAAGCCUGUGAAGGUGGCCUGUGAGGGAUGCUGGAGGUAUCAGAAGUGCGAAUGCUGACAUAAGUAACGAUAAAGCGGGUGAAAAGCCCGCUCGCCGGAAGACCAAGGGUUCCUGUCCAACGUUAAUCGGGGCAGGGUGAGUCGACCCCUAAGGCGAGGCCGAAAGGCGUAGUCGAUGGGAAACGGGUUAAUAUUCCCGUACUUGGUGUUACUGCGAAGGGGGGACGGAGAAGGCUAUGUUGGCCGGGCGACGGUUGUCCCGGUUUAAGCGUGUAGGCUGGUUUUCCAGGCAAAUCCGGAAAAUCAAGGCUGAGGCGUGAUGACGAGGCACUACGGUGCUGAAGCAACAAAUGCCCUGCUUCCAGGAAAAGCCUCUAAGCAUCAGGUAACAUCAAAUCGUACCCCAAACCGACACAGGUGGUCAGGUAGAGAAUACCAAGGCGCUUGAGAGAACUCGGGUGAAGGAACUAGGCAAAAUGGUGCCGUAACUUCGGGAGAAGGCACGCUGACACGUAGGUGAAGUGAUUUACUCAUGGAGCUGAAGUCAGUCGAAGAUACCAGCUGGCUGCAACUGUUUAUUAAAAACACAGCACUGUGCAAACACGAAAGUGGACGUAUACGGUGUGACGCCUGCCCGGUGCCGGAAGGUUAAUUGAUGGGGUCAGCGCAAGCGAAGCUCCUGAUCGAAGCCCCGGUAAACGGCGGCCGUAACUAUAACGGUCCUAAGGUAGCGAAAUUCCUUGUCGGGUAAGUUCCGACCUGCACGAAUGGCGUAAUGAUGGCCAGGCUGUCUCCACCCGAGACUCAGUGAAAUUGAACUCGCUGUGAAGAUGCAGUGUACCCGCGGCAAGACGGAAAGACCCCGUGAACCUUUACUAUAGCUUGACACUGAACAUUGAGCCUUGAUGUGUAGGAUAGGUGGGAGGCUUUGAAGUGUGGACGCCAGUCUGCAUGGAGCCGACCUUGAAAUACCACCCUUUAAUGUUUGAUGUUCUAACGUGGACCCGUAAUCCGGGUUGCGGACAGUGUCUGGUGGGUAGUUUGACUGGGGCGGUCUCCUCCUAAAGAGUAACGGAGGAGCACGAAGGUUGGCUAAUCCUGGUCGGACAUCAGGAGGUUAGUGCAAUGGCAUAAGCCAGCUUGACUGCGAGCGUGACGGCGCGAGCAGGUGCGAAAGCAGGUCAUAGUGAUCCGGUGGUUCUGAAUGGAAGGGCCAUCGCUCAACGGAUAAAAGGUACUCCGGGGAUAACAGGCUGAUACCGCCCAAGAGUUCAUAUCGACGGCGGUGUUUGGCACCUCGAUGUCGGCUCAUCACAUCCUGGGGCUGAAGUAGGUCCCAAGGGUAUGGCUGUUCGCCAUUUAAAGUGGUACGCGAGCUGGGUUUAGAACGUCGUGAGACAGUUCGGUCCCUAUCUGCCGUGGGCGCUGGAGAACUGAGGGGGGCUGCUCCUAGUACGAGAGGACCGGAGUGGACGCAUCACUGGUGUUCGGGUUGUCAUGCCAAUGGCACUGCCCGGUAGCUAAAUGCGGAAGAGAUAAGUGCUGAAAGCAUCUAAGCACGAAACUUGCCCCGAGAUGAGUUCUCCCUGAGACUUAGAGUCUCCUGAAGGAACGUUGAAGACGACGACGUUGAUAGGCCGGGUGUGUAAGCGCAGCGAUGCGUUGAGCUAACCGGUACUAAUGAACCGUGAGGCUUAACCUUA